rnacentral:rRNA from 1 species
UACGUAGGUGGCAAGCGUUACUCGGAAUCACUAGGCGUAAAGCGCAGGUAGGAGGUUUGAUAAGUCUGUUGUGAAAGCUCCCGGCUUGACUGGGAGAGGUCAACGGAAACUAUUAGGCUAGAGUGCGGUAGAGGUAGCUGGAAUUCCCGGUGUAGCGGUGAAAUGCGUAGAUAUCGGGAGGAAUACCUAUGGCGAAAGCAGGCUACUGGACCGUCACUGACUCUGAUCUGCGAAAGCUAGGGGAGCAAACAGG